rnacentral:rRNA from 1 species
GACGAACGCUGGCGGCGUGCUUAACACAUGCAAGUCGAACGGAAAGGCCCGGCUUUUGUGGGGUGCUCGAUUGGCGAACGGGUGAGUGACACGUGAGUAACCUGCCCUUGACUUUGGGGUAACUUCAGGAAACUGGGGCUAAUACCGGAUAGGAUCUCCUGCUGCAUGGUGUUGGUUGGUAAAUUUCGGCUGUUGUGGCUGGACUCGCGGGUUAUCAGCUUGUUGGUGAGGUAGUUGCAUACCAAGGCUUUGACGGGUAGCCGGCCUGAGAGCGUGACCGGCCACAUUGGGCCUGAGAUACGGACCAGUAUGCUACGGUCGGCAGCAGGGGGGAGUCUUACGCAACGGGGGGAAGUCUGAGGCAGAAGCGCUGGGUGCGGGAUGCUGGCUUUUGGGUGGUAAACAGAUUUGGAAUGUGCCAAAGAGUGCGUGACGGUAACGGGUCAAAAAGCAACGGCUAACUACGUG